rnacentral:rRNA from 1 species
UACGUAGGGUGCGAGCGUUGUCCGGAAUUAUUGGGCGUAAAGAGCUCGUAGGCGGUUUGUCGCGUCGACUGUGAAAACCCGAGGCUUAACCUCGGGCCUGCAGUCGAUACGGGCAUGACUGGAGUUCGGCAGGGGAGACUGGAAUUCCUGGUGUAGCGGUGAAAUGCGCAGAUAUCAGGAGGAACACCGGUGGCGAAGGCGGGUCUCUGGGCCGAUACUGACGCUGAGGAGCGAAAGCGUGGGGAGCGAACAGG